CAGUCGUAUUAAACAAAAUAAGAAACCGCUUGCGAUAUUUCUUGAUUUAGUCAAAGCCUUUGAUACCGUUUCAUAUGACAUGGCUACGGAAUAAGGAGACUAUUUUGAAAAUUGUAAACACUGGAAAUGUUAAAAGCUAAACACUACUGAGUUUGCAGGAAAACAACUCGGACCUUAGCCUGGACCCUAACUACAGCUACUGUUUCUCCUACACGUGGCUGGGCGUCGACUACUACAACGUAACAGACUCUGGAGAACCGAUGACUUGCAAGGAAUACCGAAAGAAAAACAAUAGUACAGCCGCGAGUACUCCCUGUGUCGAGCCUGUAGUUUUUUCGGAAGACAUUUUUUCCAUGCCCGAUGCCGACGACCUGUGGAAUACAAACAAAUCCAAAUACGUCUGCAAGAGAGCUGGAUCGCAGUCGUGCGUAAAAUACACCGUUUCGUUCGAUGGAAAUGUGCAGUACCAGACUCACAUGUGCUCCAGAGUGAGAACCAAAACAGAACUAAUAAAAACAGGAUGUCUCACGGAAACCAGGAACGGGGAUUUAUUGGAACUGUGCAUGUGUGAAAGCAACAAAGGGGUGGAUAAGCCUUGUAACGGAUCCCGGAGACCAGUAGUAUUCAGAACGUUUGUAGUCUUAAUUCUAUUGGUUGGAAUGCGUUUGAUAAAUCCUUUAUAAUG